UUCUCCCCGAAAUGCAUUUAGGUGCAGCGUCGUGUGUUUCUUGCCGGAGGUAGAGCACUGGAUAGGCGAUGGGCCCUACCGGGUUACUGACCUUAGCCAAACUCCGAAUGCCGGCAAGUGAGAGCGCGGCAGUGAGACCGUGGGGGAUAAGCUCCAUGGUCGAGAGGGAAACAGCCCAGAGCAUCGACUAAGGCCCCCAAGCGUACGCUAAGUGGGAAAGGAUGUGGAGUCGCAGAGACAACCAGGAGGUUGGCUUAGAAGCAGCCACCCUUGAAAGAGUGCGUAAUAGCUCACUGGUCUAGUGAUUCCGCGCCGACAAUGUAGCGGGGCUCAAGCGUACCGCCGAAGUCGUGUCAUUGCGAUAUGUACCCCCAACGGGGAUCGUGAUGGGUAGGGGAGCGUCGUGUGCCGGGUGAAGCAGCCGCGGAAGCGAGUUGUGGACGGUUCACGAGUG
rnacentral:ncRNA from 1 species